UGAGGAAUAUUGGUCAAUGGGCGAGAGCCUGAACCAGCCAAGUAGCGUGCAGGAUGACGGCCCUAUGGGUUGUAAACUGCUUUUAUAUGGGAAAAAAGUGAGGGACGUGUCCCUUAUUGCAUGUACCAUAUGAAUAAGGACCGGCUAAUUCCGUGCCAGCAGCCGCGGUAAUACGGAAGGUUCGGGCGUUAUCCGGAUUUAUUGGGUUUAAAGGGAGCGUAGGCCGUUUGGUAAGCGUGUUGUGAAAUGUAGGAGCUCAACUUCUAGAUUGCAGCGCGAACUGUCAGACUUGAGUGCGCACAACGUAGGCGGAAUUCAUGGUGUAGCGGUGAAAUGCUUAGAUAUCAUGAAGAACUCCGAUUGCGAAGGCAGCUUACGGGAGCGCAACUGACGCUGAAGCUCGAAGGUGCGGGUAUCGAACAGG
rnacentral:rRNA from 1 species